rnacentral:misc_RNA from 1 species
AAAUAUGAGGGCACGGGCUAUUUGUAAAAGAUGUUUGUGUUUACAUUCGACUAUGCCAUUUUGUUGAGGGGAAUAAGCACAAGAUUUUUGGUGAGAAAUUCCUCUAGAUUGAAAUAGAACUUGACAAUUGAAAUUAAUAAACUCGGUACCAUUAUCACUACGGAUAGUGUGAACUUUGGCAUUGUAUUUGGUUUGGUUCAUGUUAAGAAAAGUGAAUAAGGUUUGGUGAGUUUGGGUUUUGUAUGAAGAAGAAAAGUCCAAGUUGUCCUAGUGUUAUCAUCAACUAUAGUGAGCAUAUAAUUGACUCCUGUCAUAGAUGGUACUCUAUAUGGCCCCCAAAGAUCAACGUGUAUGAGUUGAAAUGGAAAAACAGCAUGUGACUGACUAAUGGGAAAUGGGAUACGCUGUUGCUUUGAAAGGUGACAGAUAUCACAGGUAUCAAUUUGUGAUUUUGAUUCUAAAUGUGGUAUAUGCUUCAUGACUUAUUGUGAAAUAUGGCCUAAUCUAUAAUGCCAAAUGGGAUAUUGAGUAAGAUCUCCUUUAUUUGAUGGAAAAGAUGAAGUACAAAGAGUAUUGCAAGCUGUGUUAUUAUAAGCAAUGGUAUGAGUAGAAGGGUUAUACAACAACUUUGAAUUGAAUGAAUCACUAUCCAACCUGUAUAGUCCUCCUGUAUCUUCCCAAUUGCGAUUACUUCUUUAGUCGAGAGGUCCUGCAAAACACAAAGGUUAGGAUGAAAGGUAACAGAUAUGUUGGAGGUUGAAGUGAGCUUACUCACAGACAAUAGGUUGUACUUGAAUUCAAGUAUGUGGAGGACAUUGGUUAAUUUCAAUCUUGGAUGCAAUUGUAUGCAUCCCAAAUGAUGAACAUCCUUAGUCAUUCCAUCAGGUAGAAGAACAGAUGAGGUUUGUUUUAGUUUUGAAUGGCUAGUGAAUAGGGUCAUAUCAAGUGUCAUGUGUGUUGUUGCUCCUGUGUCAAUUACCCAAGCAUCUCUAUUCUUAUUGAAAUAGUUUGAAGAACUAU